rnacentral:rRNA from 1 species
UACAGAGGUCUCAAGCGUUUGUUCGGAUUCAUUGGGCGUAAAGGGUGCGUAGGCGGCGCGGUAAGUCGGGUGUGAAAUCUCGGAGCUUAACUCCGAAACUGCAUUCGAUACUGCCGUGCUUGAGGACUGGAGAGGAGACUGGAAUUUACGGUGUAGCAGUGAAAUGCGUAGAUAUCGUAAGGAAGACCAGUGGCGAAGGCGGGUCUCUGGACAGUUCCUGACGCUGAGGCACGAAGGCCAGGGGAGCAAACGGG